UAUGUAGGCGGGCUUCUAAGUCAGGUGUGAAAUCCCAUGGCUCAACCAUGGAAUUGCAUUUGAAACUGGAAGUCUUGAGUGUGGGAGAGAUUGGUAGAAUACCUGGUGUAGUGGUGAAAUACGUAGAUAUCAGGUGGAAUACCGGUGGCGAAGGCGGCCAAUUGGCCCAACACUGACGCUGAGAUAGAAAGCGUGGGGAUCAAACA
rnacentral:rRNA from 1 species